rnacentral:lncRNA from 1 species
GAUAGGGCAAUUAAAAAAGAGAGACACUAGGCUAGCCAUAUACUAAUUAACAAGUAUGAUAAAUGACCAAUAUAAAAUUGAUCACCACCAAAGGCUGAUGUAGAGUAGUGAUAUCGAAGUUAUCGAAAUUUAAUAUUCUUAAUACGAAAUAUAAAUUUAAAUAUAAAAAUUAUAACAAAUAAUAGAUAGCCAUAUUUUAUAAACUUUAAAUAUUGAAAUCAUAACAUUAAAAUAAUUAAAAUUCUGAAUUCAACUCUGAUCACCACCAUCCAUGAACCACAUGAUUGCAAGUAUCCUUGAUCCACCUAAAGCUCUUUCUGAAUGAACCCUUCAUUUUACCCUCCAUAGCAUAAGCUUUAUAUCCAACUACUCUUGUCUUUCUUUGCAAUUCAAGAUCAUCCAAUAUUUUCCAACUUUUUGAAGAAGAGGACAUCACUUUGCUCUUGUUAUUGCUCUUCUUGAUCUUCACUUCCUUAUUAUUGUAAUAAUAAUCCAUAGAAGAAUAAGGAACAUGUGAAUUAGCACUAUAACUCCUCAAAUCUUGCAUAUUUGUCGGUGCUAACUUUUGCCUCCUUCCAUCUUCCCUUGUUGACAUUGAUCUAAAAUUCUCCAUUAGGAAUAGUGAUGAAAAUUGAGAACUUUGAUUUUUUGUAAGGUUUGGGUUUAGAGGAAGAGGGAGUAAAAAGAGAGGAUUAUAUUAUUAGGAGUGCUUCAAUGCUACGAUUUGGAGUAACU